rnacentral:rRNA from 1 species
CCUACGGGUGGCAGCAGUCGAGAAUCAUUCACAAUGGAGGAAACCCUGAUGGUGCGACGCCGCGUGGGGGAAUGAAGGUCUUCGGAUUGUAAACCCCUGUCAUGUGGGAGCAAAUUAAAAAGAUAGUACCACAAGAGGAAGAGACGGCUAACUCUGUGCCAGCAGCCGCGGUAAUACAGAGGUCUCAAGCGUUGUUCGGAUUCACUGGGCGUAAAGCGUGCGUAGGCUGUUUCGUAAGUCGUGUGUGAAAGGCGGGGGCUCAACCCGCGGACGGCACAUGAUACUGGGAGACUAGAGUAAUGGAGGGGGAACCGGAAUUCUCGGUGUAGCAGUGAAAUGCGUAGAUAUCGAGAGGAACACUCGUGGCGAAGGCGGGUUCCUGGACAUUAACUGACGCUGAGGCACGAAGGCCAGGGGAGCGAAAGGGAUUAGAUACCCUUGUAGUC